GUUUAUUCUGAACACAUACUAAAAUUGGAACAAUACAAUACAGAGAAGAUUAGCACGACUUCUGCGCAAGGAUAACAGGCAAAUUCGUGAACCGUUACAAAAAUUU
rnacentral:snRNA from 1 species